rnacentral:rRNA from 1 species
GACGAACGCUGGCGGCGUGGAUUAGGCAUGCAAGUCGAACGGUAUCAUCCUUUCGGGGGUGAGAGAGUGGCGGACUGGUGAGUAACACGUAGGUUAUCUACCCUCAAGACGGGGACAACCCAGGGAAACUUGGGCUAAUACCGGAUGUGAGCAACUUUUAGUUGUUUGAAAGGUGGCGUAAGCUGUCGCUUGGGGAUGAGCCUGCGUCCUAUUAGUUAGUUGGUGAGGUAACGGCUCACCUAGGCAAUGAUAGGUAGGCGGCCUUAACGGGUGGUCGCCCACACUGGGAUUGAGAUACGGCCCAGACUCCUACGGGAGGCAGCAGUCGAGAAUAGUCUACAAUGGUCGAAAGACUGAUAGUGCGACGCCGCGUGAACGAAGAAGCCCUUCGGGGUGUAAAGUUCUUUUAUAUGUGAGCAGUGCUUUCUAUGUGAACAGCAUGGGGAAGAGAUAUUAGCAUAUGAAAUAAGCAACGGCUAACUCCGUGCCAGCAGCCGCGGUAA